rnacentral:lncRNA from 1 species
CAUGUUCCCUGUGAUAUGAUGUUCUAAAUUUAAAUGCCAAAUUAGAUAUGAUAGUGAGAGUGGGGCAUUCGUGUACUAUGGACACAUUCUUGUUUGCUCAUUUUUCUGCUGUAGAGGCUCAUUAUAAUUGAUGCUGUAAAUUUCAUUCAGACCAUCUUAAAAGACUAUUUUAAAGCACAAAACAACUGUAUAUGACAUUUUACUUUUUACUUUCACAUGUACAGUGGGUGGGAACAUUUGCC